rnacentral:rRNA from 1 species
AUUGAACGCUAGCGGCAUGCCUAACACAUGCAAGUCGAACGGAGUGGCGGACGGGUGAGUAAUUCAUCGGAACGUGCCCUGUAGCGAGGGAUAACUUCGCGAAAGGGUAGCUAAUACCACAUACUAUUGGAUGGGCCUAUUUUGGAUUAGCUAGUGGGUGAGGUAACGGCUCACCAAGGCGACGAUCCGUAGCUGGUCUGAGAGGCUGACCAGCCACACUGGAACUGAGACACGGUCCAGACUCCUACGGGAGGCAGCAGUGGGGAAUUUUGGACAAUGGGCGAAAGCCUGAUCCAGCCAUGCCGCGUGUGUGAUGAAGGUCUUCGGAUUGUAAAGCACUUUUAGUAGGGAAGCGGUACCUGCAGAAUAAGCACCGGCUAACUACGUGCCAGCAGCCGCGGUAAUUC